GAAGGAGAUCAGAUGAUCGCUGGCGCCCUUUCCGAGCCGCUAUGCGGCUUGGAGGGUGCCAGAGGAAAGUCCGAGCUCCACAGAGCAGGGUGCUGGAUAACGUCCAGUGGGGGUGACCCUAAGGAAAGUGCCACAGAGAACAGACCGCCCCGGGGAUGCAGCGUCCCCGAGGUAAGGGUGAAACGGUGAGGUAAGAGCUCACCAGCAGCCCGGGUGACCGGGCUGGCUCGGCAAACCCCACCUGGAGCAAGACCAAAUAGCAA
rnacentral:RNase_P_RNA from 1 species